rnacentral:misc_RNA from 1 species
GAAAUGCGAUAAUUAAUGUGAAUUGCAGAAUUCAGUGAAUCAUCGAGUCUUUGAACGCACAUUGCGCCCCCUGGUAUUCCGGGGGGCAUGCCUGUCCGAGCGUCAUUGCUGCCCUCAAGCACGGCUUGUGUGUUGGGCUUCCGUCCCUGGCAACGGGGACGGGCCCAAAAGGCAGUGGCGGCACCAUGUCUGGUCCUCGAGCGUAUGGGGCUUUGUCACCCGCUCCCGUAGGUCCAGCUGGCAGCUAGCCUCGCAACCAAUCUUUUUAACCAGGUUGACCUCGGAUCAGGUAGGGAUACCCGCUGAGCUUAAGC